AACGAACGCUGGCGGCAUGCCUAACACAUGCAAGUCGAACGAGACCUUCGGGUCUAGUGGCGCACGGGUGCGUGACGCGGGGGAACCUGCACUUAGGUUCGGAAUAACUCACCGAAAGGGGUGCUAAUACCGGAUAAUGUCAUCGGACCAAAGAGUUAUCGCUUUUGGCUGGGCGCGCGUUGGAUUAGCCGGUUGGUAGGGUACAAGCCUGCCAUGGCGAGGAUCCAUAGCUGGUCUGGGAGGAGGACAAGCCAGACUGGGAAUGAGACACGGCCCACAAUCGUAGGGGAGGGAGCGGUGGGGAGUACUAGAGGCGGGGGGAUAGUGUGAUACCGCAACGCGGCGUGAGUGAUGCAGCGCUUAGGGUUGUGAAGCUGUUUGACCCGGGACGAUAAUGACGGUACCGGGAAAAUAAGCUCCGGCUAACUACGUG
rnacentral:rRNA from 1 species